UGGUUACUGGGCUGGGGAGUAUCUUUUUUGUCUGUUUUAGUCUUUUACAUUUAGUCUAUGCACUUGGUCAUCUUAACGUAGUUACACAUGUAGAUGUUACUUGUAAAAUAAUGUGAUUGGUUUUCUUCGGAAUUAACUGUUGUAUUUCUCCAUUUAGAUGACAAAAGCUGAUUUCAUCCGGAACAAUCGAGGGAUUGACGAUGGGAAGGACUUACCUGAGGAUUAUUUAGGUGCUCUCUAUGACCAAAUACAUUGACGAUGGGAAGGACUUACCUGAAAAUUAUUUGGGGGCUCUCUAUGACCAAAUAGUGAAAAAUGAGAUAAAGAUGAAUGCAGAUUCUUCUGUGCCACAAAACAAGCAGGGUAACAGUCUUAAUAAGCUUUUGGGUUUGGAUGGUAUACUGAAUCUAGUAUGGAA
rnacentral:lncRNA from 1 species